AUACUUCUGCGGAUAUUCUACAAGCUUCAUUACAUGUUUGAUUUAUGAGACAUUGUAGGAAAAUUAUUUCACAACAGAUUGUUUUAAUGACUUUCUACUAGAAUUAUGGUUUUCUUUUCCUCCUCUUUUCUUCUUUCAAUUGUUUCUCGGCAAACAAACAGACCAAUAAUACGAAUUUAGCAUACAUGCUCUACAUUUUCUGACGGCAAGCGUAAAUAUGAUCGGCGUGAAAGAAUCUUUGCGGCAUAGGGUUUCAGCCAAGAACGUGCCAAGAUCUUGAAGGGUGACAAUGGACAGUGAAGACAGCGAUUGCUUAUCCAGUUUUCAUGUUUGGUUUGUAAGGGGAACAAACACCAGUAAAUCACCUCUUCCGUAUUUCCAUUAUUACUAUUAUGGACUUGGAUAUAGAAGUAAGUACCUGAGGAUUUGUAAGCAAAAUACAGCCUUAUCUUUAAUCUCUGUGAUUUUGGAACUUGAGUGGAGUUAGAACUGAUGCCAAAUAUGAGAAUGUCAUUUUGCUGAUUUUCAUUUGGAGAGAGAGGGAACUCUAUAACAGAAAUACUAGAGAUUAUAUUACUGGUUGAACUAUGAAUAUGGAGGGAGCAUACUUGACUUUCCCCUAUAUACAGAUAGUUAUAGUUACCUACUCUUUUGUUUGGAUUCUCAUGUAUCCAACUAUAAAAAAUUGAAUCCC